AGGCUCCCGGAGCUCCGAGCUGCUAGGUCAGGCAGCUCGAAACAUGGUACUCCAGGAAGAUGCCAUCUUGCACUCAGAAGAUAGUUUAAGGAAGAUGGCAAUAAUAACAACACAUCUUCAAUACCAGUGAGUAUGCCCCCUCCAGCAACUAUUUGCUGCAGAAUCAUUAUCCCUGGUCUGCUUUCAUGGACUUUGUGCUUCAGCACUUUCCUGUGGAGGCCAGAGUGGGAGUAAAGGUGGGGGUGGCCAAGGAUGACUUUCUCGAUGGCAAAGAUGCCUGAGACUACAGAAGAAGUGGGGGUAAAGGAUGAGAAUCAGGAGCAGAGUCCACCCUUUAUGAACCUCCCCAUGUUAAAUUGAGGGCUCCUCAGAGAGAGACUAUAAACCCUGUAAAGGCAGGGCCCGUGCCAGG
rnacentral:lncRNA from 1 species